rnacentral:lncRNA from 1 species
ACAUAACAAAGAUAAUAAAGUACUUAAUUUUUAUAAAUUUUAUUUUUAUAAAUGUAUACUUAAUAACUUUUACUUAAUAAAUGUCACUGAAUAACUUUUAAAAUUCUGUAUGGUCUAUAUAAUUUAUGAAAUUAUGCGAUCACAUUUGUUCAGAAGUUACAGCUAAAAAAUAAACAUUUUUCUAUUUUUGAAAACUAAUUUCAUCCCUUAAACAUGUUUGGCUGCUGAUAAGAAAAAAGUACGUAUUAAAUAUUUCGAUUUUCUCUACAAAGUUUUAUUGAAAUCAGAGAGGAACACUUUUCUUAUAAGUUCUUAUUAUUUGCCUUUAAAUGUCUGAGGUUAAUAUAUUAAAGAUUUUCUCUCUAUUUUAAAACUUUUAAUUCUCUCUCUAUUUUAAAAUCUUUUUUGUGUACAUGUUUUGUAUAUGUUUUGUAUAUAGUGUAACAGAAGUAUAAUGAAAGAUCAAAUUGGAAGAUCAGAAUGUCAUAGAAGAUCCCAAAUGGAAAUAGAAUACAUUAUUAGUAUUGCAUAUCGGAUACCGAUAUUAUAAUGAAAAAUGAAUUUUAUAUUUCAGCACUGUAUCUCUGUAGUCGAGAAUUAAAAUAAUAUUAAUGUACUAUUAACUAAUGUAUACAUUGACAUUAAAUUACAAUUUUAGUAUAAAUAUUUUAAAAAAUACAGCUGUUUGAAAAUUGCCAUGAAUGGCAACCACCCAGUGUGUAUGUAAAAGUUGAAAAAAUAAGUGUGUAUACAAAGGAUUAAAUUCUCUUAUUUUGAUAAAAAUACCAUGCAGCGCAUUAUAAGAGCGAAAAAAAACUGAAGUAAAAAGUAUGCGAUAAGAAAUCAACACUGUGACGUAUGGUACGUAAUAGUCGGGAAAAAAGGGUAAGAUGAUAAAGUGGAUAAGAUGACGAAUCGCUAAUUUUUUUUAAACCAAUAACAGAUAUCAACCCAAUAUUGAACUCAUUAAAGUCUUUAGAUAAUAGAUUAUUUGUUGUAGUUUAUUAAUUGUUUUAAUCAGUCCACAAAAGUGGAUAAUAUAAUUAUAAAUGUGUUUUAGGUACACCCAUGUAUAACAUUUUGGCAUUUGUUUAUAGGAAAUGACUGUAACCUUUUUAUUAAAUAAAUAAGUGAAUACUACGGGUAAGAUGACGGAUGAUUCCAGAUGGCGUAUUUGUACUUGCAGAUUAUGUUCUGCAACGAACGUAAUUGCGUUAAUGUUAUGCAAAUUAAGUUUAUAAUUUGCGAUAUUGGUUAUACUGAUAAUUUGUAAAUAAAUUUUAUCAUAUGCAAUUUAUUCAUUUUGUUAUUUUUAAAAAAUAAAGUAAUUACUAUUAAUAUAAUAUAUUGUUAAAUAAAUAAGAAAAUUGAUGUUUAUACAGAUAAAGAAUAGAUAGGUUAUAAUGUCAAUUAAUUUGACUCUUUUCGCUACUGAAAAUCACAUCCACAUAGGGGGCAAGAUGGCGAAAUUGACACGAAGAAAAUCAAAAUUUUUCAAAAUUAUAAUUUAUUUAACAGCUUUUAAUUUUUAUGUUAGAUACAAAAAGCUUUAGUAAAUUUAAAAAAAGAAUAGAUCAUUAUUCUUACACCCCCCCUCACAGAAAUUAGAAAAAAAUUGACAAACGUUAGGGUUGUCAUCUUAUCCCCCUUUCUCCUACUAUAUUUUAAGUACUUCCAGUACUAUAUCGACUAUCCUAAUAAAAAUAUCAUACUGGACAAUAUUAAAUUGGCUAGUAAUUAAUACUUAUUUUAAGUAUUAAAAACACUGUUGUUAAUACUUUUAAUAUUCAAAGUAAGUAAUAAUUACUGACCAAUUUAAUAAUGUCCAGUAUUACAUUUUUAUAAUAAUAAUAUUAGAAUCUGUAAUAGUAUCGCGUCGGUACUCAAUAAAAGAGAGAAUUGAUUUUAAAUCAAUAUCUCACUAAUAUUCCUACUUGGGAAUAAACAGAGGAAUACUGUUAUCUUUAAUAUGUUCUUAAAUUUCUAGAAAAA